rnacentral:rRNA from 1 species
GACGUAGGAGGCGAGCGUUGUCCGGAUUCAUUGGGCGUAAAGAGCGUGUAGGCGGCUGGGUAGGUCCGUUGUGAAAACCCAGGGCUCAACCCUGGGCCUGCAUUCGAUACGGGCAGACUAGAGUAUGGCAGGGGAGACUGGAAUUCCUGGUGUAGCGGUGAAAUGCGCAGAUAUCAGGAGGAACACCGGUGGCGAAGGCGGGUCUCUGGGCCAAAACUGACGCUGAGGAGCGAAAGCGUGGGGAGCGAACAGG